rnacentral:rRNA from 1 species
AGUGAACGCUGGCGGUAGGCCUAACACAUGCAAGUCGAACGGCAGCACAGUAAGAGCUUGCUCUUACGGGUGGCGAGUGGCGGACGGGUGAGGAAUACAUCGGAAUCUACUUUUUCGUGGGGGAUAACGUAGGGAGACUUACGCUAAUACCGCAUACGACCUACGGGUGAAAGCAGGGGAUCUUCGGACCUUGCGCGAUUGAAUGAGCCGAUGUCGGAUUAGCUAGUUGGCGGGGUAAAGGCCCACCAAGGCGACGAUCCGUAGCUGGUCUGAGAGGAUGAUCAGCCACACUGGAACUGAGACACGGUCCAGACUCCUACGGGAGGCGGCAGUGGGGAAUAUUGGACAAUGGGCGCAAGCCUGAUCCAGCCAUACCGCGUGGGUGAAGAAGGCCUUCGGGUUGUAAAGCCCUUUUGUUGGGAAAGAAAAGCAGCAGGUUAAUACCCCGCUGUUCUGACGGUACCCAAAGAAUAAGCACCGGCUAACUUCGUG